CUGCGUGAAUAUUAGGCGUCGUUUUCGACAGUGUGACAUUCAGCCACCAGGCACUGUUGAUGUGGAUUGCGAAGGCAGUGGUAUGGAAGUUAGGAGUUGCUUUGGAUGUCCAGGUGGAAAGCCUGAUCCAAAAUGGACGCCUUGGAGCACAUGUUCGGUAACGUGUGGAGUAGGGGAAACCUACAGGGUGCUAUCUUGUAAUCUUACACAAGCUGAAUCAAUCAAAUAGCUCUGCUCUAGAAGAGUGGAGGAAAUGAAACAGUGUUCAGAGAAACCAUGUCCAGUUGAUGGAGGCUGGACUCUUUGGACUUCAUGGGGUAGCUGUUCAAACAACUGUGGACAUGGACAGAAGACUAGAGAAAGAUCGUGUACAAACCCGAAACCAGAAAAUGGAGGCAAACCCUGUACUGGGGAUAAAUCGGAAGUAAAGAAUUGCUAUGGUUG